CAGCGGCGGAAGAUGGCGGCGCCGAGCUUCCCCACGCCUCUCUAUGGACACGUGGGUCGCGGCGUGUUCCGCGACGUGUACGAGCCCGCGGAGGACACGUUCCUGCUGCUGGACGCGCUCGAGGCUGCAGCGGACGAGCUGGCGGGAGUGGAAAUUUGCCUGGAAAUAGGGUCAGGGUCCGGUGUGGUGUCUGCAUUCCUUGCAUCUAUGAUAGGUCCUCAGGCUUUAUACAUGUGCACUGAUAUCAACCCUGAUGCAGCAGCCUGUACCCUGGAGACAGCACGCUGUAACAAAGUCCAAAUUCAACCAAUAAUUACAGAUUUGGUCAAAGGCUUGUUACCACGACUGAAAGAAAAAGUUGACCUGCUCGUGUUUAAUCCCCCCUAUGUAGUGACUCCACCUGAAGAGGUAGGAAGUCAAGGAAUAGAAGCUGCAUGGGCUGGUGGCAGAGAUGGUCGGGAAGUCAUGGACAAAUUCUUCCCAUUAGCAUCUGAUCUACUUUCCCCAAGAGGACUGUUCUAUCUAGUUACCAUAAAAGAAAACAAUCCAGGAGAAAUUUUGAAAACACUAAACACCAAAGGUCUCCAGGGGACCACUGCACUUUCCAGGCAAGCAGGACAAGAAAUCCUCUCAGUCCUCAAGUUCACCAAGUCAUAAUAUAUUGGGAACCACUGGAAACUGAAUGCACGCAGUAUAUUUAGAAGCUGAAGUCAUUCUUUUGCUUAUGGAAUUUUACCAGAAGUUUGUCACCAAGAGGUCAAAAGAUGAGUCAUUCACUUUCAUCAGGAAAUUCACCAGGAAAUCAAGACAGUAAAUAUAAAUAUACAUAUUUUUAUAAUUUACAUUUUAUACAUGUUAUAUUUAUAGAUGAGGUGUUCAUUUCAUCAUUACUUAUAAUAUCAAAACAGUGAAUCCUCCUGUCAAUCAGAAAUGAAAUUGGUUAAAUUUCAAUACACAGCCAUUAAACAUGAGUCAGGUCUGUAUAUUUUGAACCAGAAGCAUCCAUGAUGCCUUACUUAAAGUAAAAAGUGUAAGUUGCAGAAGUUUUUAUCCUGAAUGUGUGUUUUUUUAAGGAAGAGAACUUCAGAAGAUAAAUAACAUGGUCUUUAACUCUGGUCGUGCCCUCUGGAUUUGUACAGUGAUGAUGUUGGACACUGACAGUGGAUUUCAUCAGUGGUGAUGUAGUUGCAGCUGGUGUGCCAGCCAUACUUUUCAUAACACUGGUACUGCAGUGUUUGAAUCAAGUAGGUAGGCUUUUCUGGUAGGAGGCUGGCAUUAGGAAGGAAGUCUGACUAGUAACACGGUCUUCCACUGUGGGGUACAGUGAUAUGGGACAUGUUGAAAUACUCCUCCAAGGUGAAGGGUAAGUGGUUGCAUUAGUCACUCCUAAACCAAAAGAUAAAAAAAAAAAAUGUAGAUUUUGGGGGUUUUGGGGACAGUAUCUCUUUUGGUAUAAUGCCGGCUCAUUUAUCAAGGGACCCCAAAAGAAUGUUGGUGAGACUCCCAGAAGAGAAGAAGAGAAGGUUCUGUGACUGGUCCUGGCUGCUUUGCAGGAUGCUGUGCCCGUUAGGCCAUAUGAUCGUGCACCUGUGGCCUCCUGUAUUCCCUAUGAAGCUAGAGACAAGUUAUUUGCUGUUAAGCCAGCAGACAGUGGUGUGACACAUGUUGACUGGCACAGUCAACACAGCACAACAGAAUCAGUGGUCCAAAGCAGUUCUGAAAUUCAUCUGGGCAGAUGUUGGAAUAGUUUUGAUUAGGAAUCAGUCCUUCCAAGAUGAAAUAACCAUGGCUCUCAAUUCUAUCUUCAAAAGUUUUGGUUCUGCCAAGAUUUUACUGUUCUGUUUUCAGUACAUGUAGCAUGUCUUUGUCUGAGUAGGUUUUCCAGGCUAGUUUCUCCAGAUAGAGACCCAAAGUCCUUUUAUUUUGUGUUCCCUGUAUGAGAAUAGGUGAUAUUUGUCUCUGUCAUUCUGGCUUAUUUCAUUUUAUACAUAAUUUCCAGUUCCAUCCAUAUUCUAGUAAGCAAUAUAAGUUUGUUCUUUAUGGAUGGCUCCACUGUGUAUGUGUAUUCCACAUUUUCUGCAUUCAUCAGUUGAUGAGCCAGGGUGAUUCAAAAAUUUAGCUAUUGUGAGUAGUAUUGCCAUAAAUAUGGGUAUGCCAGUAUCUUUUGAAUAUAAGCCAGGAAAGGCAGGGCAGGUUCAUAUAGUAGUUCUAUUUAUCAGGUUUUUUUUUUUUUAAUGGAUGUCCAGACUGAUUUCCAUAGUGGUUGCACCUAAUUUACAUUUUACUACAAUAUAUUAAUUAUACUUCAACAUUAGCUGUAUUUUCAAGACAAGCAUUUCUCUACCUUGGCAACUUAAGAGAUUAAUGCAGAAUAUUAAAUGGUAAAGAACUUCUUAAGUGUCAUAUUAUUUGAUUUUGAGGUGUACCUUUAAGAUAGAGGACCUUUUAUGACUCAACAGUAUUACCUUUGAUCUUUCUGAGGUAUAUGCAUGCAUGUUGGUGCUUAAGUUUAAAUCCAUGGAGCCUAAUAUAGAAGCUAGAGAAAUUAAAGUGAAAGAGUUUAAAUCUAGAAAAUGUACUACAUAGGCCACUUAGAAUCCUUUUUCUUACAGAUUGAACAAGAUUUUAAUUAUAAACAAAAGUAAGUGCAAUCUCCAAAAACAGACAAAAGAAAAUUCCAAAAAUAUUUCUUGGAUGUCACCAAGAUCUUAUAUAAGGGUAAACAAGCAUGUCCUUUUGAAAACAAACUCAGAGAUGCCACUCUAGAUCUCCCAAAUGCCACCAACAUCUUAAAAUUCUGGCCUUAUAGAGAAAAAGAUAAAAUCUAGACCUCAAGGUAAGAUCACUUAUCCACAUAAAAAUAAGACCAAAAGUGUCCUUAUUUGCUAAGAACAGGAAACUCUGAUUAAUGAUAUCUGCAAACUGAAGAGCAACGGGGAAAAAAUUAGUGUCCUAUCUUGUCUAAAAUCCAGGACAACUUUACAAAAUCCAGUAACACUACCUCAGGGGAAUUAGCACUUAACAGGUCCCAACAUUCUUCUAAAUUCCUAUAGAGGAUGUUCUAUAUAUAUAGAUGGACAAAGUAAGGACAUGUCAGCUGGGCACCUGUGGCUCAUGCCUGUAAUCCU